CCCUUAGACGUUCUGGGCCGCACGCGCGCUACACUGACCAGUGCAACAAGCAUCCGUCCUUGGCCGACAGGCUCGGGCAAUCUUUGAACGCUGGUCGUGAUGGGGAUAGACUUUUGCAAUUUUUGGUCUUCAACGAGGAAUUCCUAGUAAACGCAACUCAUCAACUUGCAUUGAUUACGUCCCUGCCCUUUGUACACACCGCCCGUCGCACCUACCGAUUGAAUGGUCCGGUGAAGCCUCCGGAUUGGCGCGCACCUCGGUGCCGCCGAGAAGUUGGCUAAACCUUACCAUUUAGAGGAAGGUGAAGUCGUAACA
rnacentral:rRNA from 1 species